UACAGAGGUCUCAAGCGUUGUUCGGAUUCAUUGGGCGUAAAGGGUGCGUAGGCGGCGCGGUAAGUCGGGUGUGAAAUCUUGGAGCUUAACUCCGAAACUGCAUUCGAUACUGCCGUGCUUGAGGACUGGAGAGGAGACUGGAAUUUACGGUGUAGCGGUGAAAUGCGUAGAUAUCGUAAGGAAGACCAGUGGCGAAGGCGGGUCUCUGGAACGCAACUGACGCUGAGACGCGAAAGCGUGGGGAGCAAACAGG
rnacentral:rRNA from 1 species